rnacentral:pre_miRNA from 1 species
GGAUAAUUUAGGUGGGUGCCAGGAGUGCAUUUACAUUGUUGCAUCUUCGAUUUAAGGUGUAAAUGCACAAUCUGGUACGACAUCUAGUUAUCU